ACCAUGCAGUCGAGCGGCAGCACAGAGGACCUUGCUCCUUGGGUGGCGAGUGGGGGAGGGGUGAGGAAUACGUCUGACUCUACUUUGUCGUGGGGGAUAACGUAGGGAAGCUUACGCUAAUACCGCAAACGACCUAAAGGUGAAAGCUCGGGACCUUCGGGCCUUGCCCGAUUGAAUGAGCCGAUGUCGGAUUAUCUAGUUGGCGGGGUAAAGGCCCACCAGGGCGACUAUCCGUAGCUGGUCUGAGAAGAUGAUCAGCCGCACUGGAACUGAGACACGGUCCAGACUCCUACAGGAGGCAGCGAUGGGGAAUAUUGGACAAUGGGCGCAAGCCUGAUCCACCCAUAGCGCGUGGGUGAAGAAGGGCUUCGGGUUGUAAAGCCCUUUUGUUGGGAAAGAAAUCCAGCUGGCUUAUACCCGGUUGGGAUGACGGUCCCCAAAGAAUAAGCACCGGCUAACUUCGUGCCCUCCGCCGCGGUAAUAGGAGGGGUGCAUACGUUACUCGGAAUUACUGGACGUAAAGCGUGCGUAGGUGGUCGUUGAAGUCCGUUGUGACAGCCCUGGGCUCAACCUGGGAACUGCAGUGGAUACUGGGCGACUAGAGUGUGGUAAGGGUAACGGAGUUCCUGGUGUCCAGUGAAAUGCGUAAAUCAUGAGAACAUCCGUAGGCGAAGCGCUACCUGGACCAACACUGACACUGAGCACGAAAGCGUGGGAGCAACAGGAUUAAUACCCUGGUAUCCACGCCCUAACGAUGCAACUGGAUGUUCGGGUGCGAUUUGGCACGCAGUAUCUAAGCUAACGCGUUAAGUCGCGCCUGGGGAGUACGGUCGCAGAGCUGAAACUGCAGAGGAAUUGAACGAGUGCCAGCACAGCCGCUGGAGUAUGUGGUUUAAUUCGAUGCA
rnacentral:rRNA from 1 species